rnacentral:snRNA from 1 species
GUGUUCACUUCAGCAGCACGUAUACUAACAUUGGAACGAUACAGAGAGGAUUAGCAUAGCCCCUGCGCAAAAAUUUGUGAAGUGUUCCAUAUUAAA